rnacentral:rRNA from 1 species
UAAAUUAACUUAAAUUAAUAAUAAUAUCAAACUUUAGUAAAAAUUAAUAAACUAGUGAAAUAUCUUUUUUACGGAGUAGGGUUUACCAAAACUUAUUUACUUUAAAAUGAAGAGUACUGAGAAGGAAAAAGAAAUGUCUUUUAUUUAUUAAAAAGAAGUGAUACCACUUACCUUUUGUAUUAUGGUUGAAUUAAAUAAAAGGGCAAAAAGUCUUAGAAACGAAAUUAAGCGAGCUAUACUCCUCUUUGGUAAAGCUUUAUUCUCUUACUGUUGUAAAAGUGAGUGAGGAGAGGAGUCUAGGGGUGAUAUGCCUUCCGAGCUUAAAGAUAGCUUUAUUUAAAGGAAAUUGGUGUAAGCCAAUAAAUAAUUAGUAUUAGGAGAGAUAGUUGGACUAUCAAUUAUCUCUUGAUAAAAAGAAUUAUAAAUAAAAAGAAGAGGCAAUUAGUUAUUUUGGUAAAAAUAAAUAGGAUUUAAGCAUCUUUUUUUAGGAUUGCGUUUGAGCUCAUUUUUAGUUUAAAAACAAAUUAAUAUUUGGUUAUUUUAUCCUUUUCUUGAUAGUUAUUACUUUAAUAUUCUUCAAAAAGAUAUAUUUAUGUUUAAAUUAGUAAGAUUAUUUGUUAUUUGAUAAAAUAUUCACUAAAAAAGGUGACGUGAACUUUUUUGGGGUGUCUUCUUAUUAAAGAAACAAAUUGUUAAAUUAAAGUAGGGGAAGGAACUCGGCAAACUUUUCUACGCCUGUUUACCAAAAACACCGCCCCUUGAGAAGGAUAAGGGGUUCUGCCUGCCCGGUGACACUCAAUAGUGUUAAACGGCUGCAGUAUCACUGACUGUGCAAAGGUAGCAUAAUCAUUCGCCUAUUAAUUGUAGGCUAGUAUCAACGGCUAGACGAUAGAAUUUCUGUCUCCCUUUACGAGAUCUUAACUUAACUUUUAGGUGAAGAGACCUAAAUAUUACAGUGGGACGAGAAGACCCUAUAGAGCUUUACCUUAUAAAUUAAUUAGUUUAAUAAAGAGGUUUGGUUGGGGCAACCGCUCUUAUAGUUAGACAAGAGCUAAACAAAAAGUGUUUAGGAGACCCACAAAUAUAUGUGAUUAAAAGAAAAAGUUACCCUAGGGAUAACAGCGUAAUUUCUUUUGAGAGUACUUAUUGACAAAGAAGCUUGCGACCUCGAUGUUGGAUCAGAAGAGCCUAGAUGUGCAGCAGCCUCUAAGGGUUGGUUUGUUCAACCAUUAAACUUCUACGUGAUCUGAGUUCAGUCCGUCGUAAGACAGGACAGUUUCUAUCUACUAUUAAAAGUCUUUUUUUGUACGAAAGGAAUUAAAAGAAAAAAGUAAAAUAAAAUGUUCCUUUUACAUAAUUAGUUGAAAAAAUAAGAGGCUCAUUA